CAAUUAUUCUGCAAAAGUAUUAACCAUAUCACAUGAUAAAAGCACAGACAACAACACAUGUAUCAUAAAACAGAAAAAAGAUUACAGAAGUAGGACCAAACGAAGCAUCGUAUGGUUUAAAGUUGUCGAACCAAAACAAGCUUUUAAUAAUCCAUAUUAUUUUAAAUACAUGUCAGUAAAUUCUGCACUUAGGCGUGUGGCUGCAUCUGAUUGAGAAGGAAGGUUCCUUCAUUGUUCUUGUGCACCUCAACCUUGUACUUCUCUUCACUGGUUCCCCUCUUGACCUUGAGAAUGAUAUCAAAUUUUGCAUGAUCAUCUACUACCUCAGCUUUAGCAUGAACAAUCUCUUUAAGUUCAUAAGGAAACAAUGAGUUGGACCUCUGCUGAAUGGUCUUCACAGCAUGACUGGCUGCAUCUUGCACUGCAGGAUCAUGUGCUGGUACUUCUUUCCAUCCAGGACCAUGCCCGUCUUUCUUCACACCGAGAUCUGAGGAGGUAAAGGAGGGAGCACCUGAACCACCGUCAACAUCACCGGCGUGUUUGAACUCCUGCAAUUCUUUAAAAUUAAGCCAAGGCUUCACCCAGACCUUAGCUUCAUAAAGCUUCUUCUUCCCGGCCUCAAUCGCUUCAAUAGUAAGGUGAUGAAGAGUCCCAGUCACCACUUGUUCUUUCGCCUUCACGACCCUAGCAAACUCCAGCACCGCAUUCUCUUUCUUGUUGUGCUCUUCGACAGCGAAGCGGGCGAGGGCGUCGAUCUCGACGGAGUUGGGGGCGACUUGGGAAUCGCGAACUCCUCCGAGAGUGGUCAUUUCGUCACGGCAAAAAGCAGAGGCGGCUCCGAUUACGAAAGAAUGAGAGAGAGAAAUUAAAGAAAGGAGAAAGAGAAGAGAAGAGAAUGAUGAUAAUAUUGGAGAGGUGUAGCGUUUCAUGGGUUAUAUAGAUUGCUGGUUUACUCAGCUCCUCUUCUUCUUCUUCUCUCUUCUUCCUUUCUUCAUCCUCUAUCUUCUUGCGCUCCAGGAACACAAUCAGACCUCUCAAGGCGAUGUCAGGUUCCUCACUUUUCAUUAGCUCCUCGGCUACUUCUGCAGGAGUAACCUUAGUUGUACCUAUCAAUUCUUCUACCUGUAAGAAAAGUGGGUGAUAUGUAAUCCCCAGGUAAUUGGAUGCCAGCAUUUUGAAUCCACAUGGACUGCAGUAAGACAUGUGGAUGUGCAUAUCCAUUCGACCGGGGCGCAACAGGGCAGGGUCAAGCUUUUCUUUGUGAUUGGUAGUGAAAACUAUGAUUCUUUCAUCCCCACAGCUUGACCACAAUCCAUCCACGAAGUUCAGCAAUCCUGAUAGUGUCACCUGAACCUGAUUUUCUGGAUUAUAACCUCGAUUAGAUCGAGGAUUAAGAGCUCUGGCUUCUGCAAUCCUAUUUUGCAAAUCAAUGGAACAAUCAAUGUCCUCCACCACAAGUAUGGACUUAUUCCCAGUCGAAAUCAACAACUUUCUCAGCUCAGAAUUAGUCCUAAGAUCAGUCAACUCCAAGUCAUAAAUAUCGAACUUGAGAAAAUUUGCCAUGGCAGCAAUCAAGCUUGAUUUCCCAGUCCCUGGUGGCCCAAACAGCAAGUACCCACGUUUCCAAGCCUUACCCACUUUCCUAUAGAACUCCUUCCUCUUCACAAACCUUUCAAGGUCCUCCAUGAUCAUCCUCUUCUCUUCUAUCUCCAUGGCCAACGUAUCAAAGGUAGCAGGAUGAUCAAGGUUCACAGAUUGCCAUGCAUCUCCUCUCCUCCCUGUCAUCCUGUCCAGGCUUAAUGUAAAGAGCUUCAAUGUCCUUUUCUCGUCUUCGAUUUCUUUCGAUUUCUUGAUUACAUGCUUUAUAUAAGCGUCAAGAACCAUGUUCUUGUGCUUAUUGUGGAAGCUCAACUCAAAGAACCUGCGCUCGUUUACAGGCAUAGUGCUAUAGAGAUCAGGGCUUGGGACAUACUUCACUCGUUCUUCUCUCGAAAUAAACUUCCACUUCACGUUAACCCCAUUAAAGGUAUCGAUGAUUUCUUGGUUUUGCUCUAAGGACAUAGAAAUGUUAUUCUCUUUCUUGGGUAAUGAAAUUUUGAGUCUCUGCGUGUUGGGAGGAAUUAUGGGCUGAAGAUAGAGCUGUGCAGCUGUGAAGAGAUGGUUCUGGUUAAGAUUAUCAUAUUCUUCAAUCACUAAGGUUAGUUCCGAGGAGAAAGAGUUAAUAAGGGUUAUGAGUUUGAAGUAAACAUAUUGUCGAAGCUCCUUUGGAAUAAAGUCGUUAGCCACAGAGCGAAGGAGCAUGACUGUGGCAGCAGCGGAGGCAGCGGCGGAGAUUAUCGCUUUGGUGGAGGUCAUUUCGGUGGCUUUGGGGAACAUGGUUUCUGGGUUCAAGCCUUUUUUGUGCUAUUACUUGGUUUUUGGUCAAUUUGAUUAGAUGAUAGAAUUCAGGAUUGAGAAUUUUAGAAGAAGAAUUGCAAAGUGGAAAUUUUGGCAGUGGUGAUGACCGAUUUAGAAAGAAAUAAUUUGGUUGGUUUUUCCAAGAGAAGAAGAUGUUGAUUGGUUAGGAGGAAAAUGCAUGGAAGUGACGGGGUGAAGAAAGUUGGGAGGGUAAGUGCG
rnacentral:misc_RNA from 1 species